GCACUGUUUUCUUACAAUUGAAUGUUUAUACCUGCAUGUGAUCACAGAGUGAGGCUAACGUUGCCAAUCGGAUCGUCUCCAGUCCAGAGGAAGGAAUUAAAUCAUGGGGGCUCACUGUUAAUGGUAGACAACAAGCAAUAAAGCCACACGCAGAUGUUUCUGAGGCUAUGAUUUUAAUGCACCAUCUGAAUGGGCUCGCAAUGAGCUUUCAAAAAAUGAGCAUCUCAAAAGCUUCAAGAUACUCUUGAUUGUGAACAAAUUUCUAACUUGAUAAUAAUUUCCUCCGACUUCAAACGUACCAGAGAAACAGCUGAAGUCAUUCACCGGUGUCUCGAGCCUCUUGCACCAGUAAAACUAGAAC